rnacentral:tRNA from 1 species
AGGAAGGUGGCAGAGAUAUGCGUUGGGCUGUAGGCCCAACUACGAGGCUUACAGGUCUCCCUUCUAA